CGGACUCCUUGGGAGGACCACAUGCAAUGACGAGAAGCGGCGUAAGGCGGCGAGCUGUGAGACACGACCCGGUCGGGAAACCCAGGCUUUCUCAGCACGGUGAGCAGCAAAGAAAACCCUGCACCGUCGUGGGCAACUAGGAAGAGACCCCUGAGUGGAUGGAGACAUCCAGAAGCCUAAAGCGGCGCUGGGCGUGGCUAGCACACGCCAGCGCGGGAACCCAAGUGAUGCGGCCUGGUUUCUUCCGCUUCCGCCGGGACUCUCUGCGUAGCGGACCGGUGCGAACGCAACUUCCGGCCCGACCGGGUCCAGGGAGCCGCUGCGUUCCUGGUGGGAAGCCGGGGUGGCCGAACGUGCGUGGCCAUGUGGCGGCUGCUGGCUCGAGCCGGGGCGCCGCUCCUGCGAGCGCGGCCGUCAGAUUCUUGGGCCGCCCCGCCCGCCAGUGCUGGCCUAAAGAUGCUGCUCCCGGUGCCGACUUUUGAGGAUGUUUCCAUUCCUGAAAAGCCCAAGCUUAGAUUUGUUGAAAGGGUACCACUUGUGCCAAAAGUGAGAAGAGAACCUAAGAACUUGAGGGACAUCCGGGGACCUUCUACUGAAGCUACCGAGUUCACAGAAGGCAGUUUUGCAAUCC